rnacentral:rRNA from 1 species
CGUAGGGUGCGAGCGUUAAUCGGAAUUACUGGGCGUAAAGCGUGCGCAGGCGGUUCGUUGUGUCCGAUGUGAAAGCCCCGGGCUUAACCUGGGAAUGGCAUUGGAAACUGGCGAGCUUGAGUGCGGCAGAGGGGGUGGAAUUCCGCGUGUAGCAGUGAAAUGCGUAGAGAUGCGGAGGAACACCGAUGGCGAAGGCAGCCCCCUGGGUCGACACUGACGCUCAGGCACGAAAGCGUGGGGAGCAAACAGGAUUAGAUACCCUGGUAGUCCACGCCCUAAACGAUGUCGACUGGGUGUUGGGGAAGCGAUUCCCUAGUACCGUAGCUAACGCGUGAAGUCGACCGCCUGGGGAGUACGGCCGCAAGGUUA